UGUGAUCUUCGGAUUAAAGCUUCGGCGCUUUGGGAGCGGCCCAUGUCUGAUUAGCUAGUUGGUAGGGUAAAAGCCUACCAAGGCGACGAUCAGUAGCUGGUUUGAGAGGAUGAUCAGCCACACUGGAACUGAGACACGGUCCAGACUCCUACGGGAGGCAGCAGUAGGGAAUUUUCCACAAUGGACGAAAGUCUGAUGGAGCAACGCCGCGUGCAGGAUGAAGGCCUUCGGGUUGUAAACUGCUUUUAUGUGUGAAGAAUAUGACAGUAAAACAUGAAUAAGCAUCGGCUAACUCCGUGCCAGCAGCCGCGGUCAUACGGAGGAUGCAAGCGUUAUCCGGAAUCACUGGGCGUAAAGAGUUGCGUAGGUGGCAUAGUAAGCGAAACAUGAAAUCUUGGGGCUCAACCCCAAGCCUAUGUUUUGAACUGCUAAGCUUGAGCAUGAGAGAGGUACCUGGAACUCCAAGUGUAGGAGUGAAAUCCGUAGAUAUUUGGAGGAACACCGAUGGCGUAGGCGGGGUACUGGCUCAUUGCUGACACUAAGGCACGAAAGCGUGGGGAGCGAACGGGAUUAGAUACCCCGGUAGUCCACGCCGUAAACUAUGGAUGCUAGCUGUUAGGAGUAUCGACCCUCCUAGUAGCGAAGCUAACGCGUUAAGCAUCCCGCCUGAGUAGUACGAGCGCAAGCUUAAAACUCAAAGGAAUUGACGGGGACCCGCACAAGCGGUGGAGCGUGUUGUUUAAUUCGAUGAUAAGCGAAGAACCUUACCAGGGUUUGACAUCUAGGGAAGGACUCCGAAAGGAGACUGUGCCUUCGGGAACCCUAUGACAGGUGUUGCAUGGCCGUCGUCAGCUCGUGUCGUGAGAUGUUUGGUUAAGUCCAUCAACGAGCGCAACCCUUAUGAUUAGUUGGAUUUUUCUAAUCAGACUGCCUCGGUAACGGGGAGGAAGGAGGGGAUGAUGUCAGGUCAGUAUUACCCUUACAUCCUGGGCUACAAACACGCUACAAUGGCCGGUACAAAGGGCAGCCAAGCAGUAAUGCGGAGCAAAUCCCAUCAAAGCCGGUCCCAGUUCGGAUUGGGGGCUGAAACUCGCCCCCAUGAAGUCGGAAUCGCUAGUAACGGUGAGUCAGCUAUAUUACCGUGAAUACGUUCCCGGGUCUUGUACACACCGCCCGUCAAGUCAUGAAAGUCGCCAAUACCCGACGUGCCAGCUUGCCUGUCCCUAAGGUAGGGGUGAUGAUUGGGACUAAGUCGUAACAAGGUA
rnacentral:rRNA from 1 species